rnacentral:tRNA from 1 species
GCCUGGGUGGCUCAGUCGGUUAAGCGUCUGACUUCGGCUCAGGUCGUGAUCUCGCGGUCCGUGAGUUCGAGCCCCACGUCGGGUU